GGGCUCGUAGCUCAGCUUGGUAGAGCAUCUGACUCUUAAUCAGGUGGUCGGGGGUCCAAAUCCCCUCGAGCCCG
rnacentral:tRNA from 1 species